GUUGGAAAUGGUUUGGAAAAAAACGUACGUUAUGCAACCCGUAUCAGGGGCGGACCUUGGGGGGAGAAAUUGUACGGGCAAUUGACCCUCUAGAUUUUGGGGGAAAAAAAAUUUUUGCUUAGAUUUUUUUUGUUCCUUAACUUUUUUUUUUAUAUUAGAAUAUACCUUAUAAAUUUUAUUUUUGACCCCCUAACCCAAAUCGUCUGGGUCUGCCCCUACCUGUAAUGUUACGAUAGACAGCUGUUGCUCCUCAGUACACAUAUUUUCGACAACAUGCACUCACAAAUGUUUUGUAUAUCACGUCUUAUUUUAUGUUGUAUGUGAUCCAACAUUUUGCAUCCUCAUGUCAUGUCUGUAAGAUAUCGUUUGAUAGUUUUUACUAUCCAGAUCUUGCUAAGAAAUAUGUGAGACCCAAGAUUCAGGAUUACAUGCAAGCUUAUAUUCCCAAGUUUGGUUCACAAAGUAGCUCUUAAAACAUGUGAGUUACAGUACUAUGAACGAUGUUGCAUCACACAUUCUGUGCUGUCGCUUCUAAUAAAUGAUAUUUUCCCAAGUCGUUAAUAUUGUGCAUACAUUUCAUAAGUUGUGAUACGUAAACUGAUUGCUAUGCACUGAUGAGGUUUUGCUAUAUUAUGAACAUGUUCUAUCUUCAAAACAUGGAUUAAUUCACUACUGAGUGUAGGUGUCACGUUACAUUUUGUUUGCCCUGUUGCGAUUAAACUUUUUUUAAAUGAAAGAGUAGGUAGAAUCUUCAUUCUACAUUCCCCCUGAGAACAGAUUUGGUGCAAGCUUGAAUGUGUUCUUCAGGAAAAAGGUUAUAUUGAAGCUGAAUAGCAAGCUGACCACAUUUCAAAAGGAAAUGUUUAGAUGCCUGUUUCGGACACUUCUUGCAAAUGAAUGACCUGCGCAUAGGUGUUACAGGCAGAUAUCAACGCUUGGCGCCUCAGGGGUGCAAUCUCAUUAUCACACAUAAACCUAAAAAUAUUCCGGUAAUCGCACGUAUUACCUGAUCGCUCGAAGAAACCCCUGAAAAUUGAGGCCUUCAAAGAAUCGGUUGAACACAGAUCGAGAAUCUUGGGUGAUUACGGGCUAUUCCCACUACGAUUUUUUUGUUAUAUGUAACGAAGUAAUGUUCAAUGGUAAAUGGGAUUCAUAUUCUGCAGUAUCUCCCAGUUUGAAUUUUUGAAAACCCAUGUAAUUUGCAACCUUCCGUUUUACUGGCUGUGAUAACAGCGUUUGUGUCUUCAGUUACAAUUCAAUAUUUGGAAGGUCAUGAGGGAAUUAUUUUUGUUUAUAAUAUAUCCCAAUUGUAGUAAGAAAGUUAUAUGUUUAU
rnacentral:lncRNA from 1 species